AAGCUAAGAUUUAUCAAGAAGAAGCUUCUAACUUCAUCUUAAGCGGCCCCCCCCGUUUUUAGCUUU
rnacentral:tRNA from 1 species